CCUACGGGGGGCUGCAGUCGAGAAUCAUUCACAAUGGGGGAAACCCUGAUGGUGCGACGCCGCGUGGGGGAAUGAAGGUCUUCGGAUUUUAAGCCCCUGUCAUGUGGGAGCAAAUUAAAAAGAUAGUACCACAAGAGGAAGAGACGGGUAACUCUGUGCCAGCAGCCGCGGUAAUACAGAGGUCUCAAGCGUUGUUCGGAAUCACUGGGCGUAAAGCGUGCGUAGGCUGUUUCGUAGGUCGUGUGUGAAAGGGGCGGGCUCAACCCGCGGACGGCACAUGAUACUGCGAGACUAGAGUGAAGGAGGGGGAGCCGGAAUUCUCGGUGUAGCAGUGAAAUGCGUAGAUAUCGAGAGGAACACUCGUGGCGAAGGCGGGUUCCUGGACAGUAACUGACGCUGAGGCACGAAGGCCAGGGGAGCGAAAGGGAUUAGAUACCCUUGUAGUC
rnacentral:rRNA from 1 species